ACAGGAAUCCUCUCUCUUUUAUGGCCUGUGUAGGGCUAGCCACAAUGGCAGUCCUUUCUCUAAAGGGAGUACAGGGACUGCUCUCUCCAUCUGCCCCAGAGGGGAGAAGAUAGAGUCAUAGUCUUCUUCUACAUAUGCCCAUAGGCCAGUCAUGCAGGGGAAAAAACAGGAUCCCUCCAGCACCUGAUUGAAUACCAGAUUAGUUGAAAAUGAUAAUAUGAUGAUGAUAGUACCUACAAUUAUCACUGCAUCUUUUCUACAAGCUUCAAAUCCUCAGUUUUAGGUUGCUGGGUUUUUCGUUGAGGAAGGAUUUGUGGAAGAAAUGUCAUCAACCCACCUCCCCUGCAAAAUGAAAUGGAAAACAAACUGGAAAACUGGUCUCCCUCCUCUGAUGUCCUUAAUUGCCAGGAUGACAGUAUCUCCUGGCUUGCUGUUCUCGCCUGUCAGGUCUUUUCAAAUCACUUAACAUUUACUGGAACAAUUCUACACUGCCGGAUUUGCUGCUCAUCCAGCGUGGUGUUUGUAUCACAGCUGCUACACCAGAGUCAUCUCAAUAAGAAGAAACGUUUCUCACCACUUCAUUAGUACACAGCAGCAUGAAAAUAAUAAUUUCCUCUGAAAAUAAAAUACCACAAACCUUUCAUCUGGGGGAAAAAUCAUGAAAAAAGUAAUCUUGUUUUUGUUUGGGAGCUGAAAUGUUUGUGGUCAUUAAGGUAAACUUACAAUCUGUAGUUGAUUCAAUUAAAAUGUGGCAGAAUUUGUGAUAUUUUUGUAUACUUUUUCCAAAGCUGGUUGGAACAUUUAGACAAACUGAAUAAUGAAAGAUCAGAAUAUUAAAAAAUCACGGAGCACAGGAGUUUCAGGGCCAUGUCUAACCUCAACCCUUUACAGACAGGAAAGAAAAAUACAUCUUUUUUUCAAAUACUUUUGGCUUUCUAUAGCUAUUUAACCAUAUUGUUCUACUGAGCAAAUGAAAAAUAACUAGACACUAAAUAAAUAAAUAAAUAAAAGUACACUAGAAAGUGUACCUACGAGGGAAGGCACAAGACUUCAGUUAUGUCUCGCAAGGCAACAGUUUUAAUGGAAAGCUUGUUUUCUGGCUAUGUUGCAAAAUAAUGUAUGUUAUUUGUUGGGCAAUAUUCAAUUAUACACCAUUUAAGGCUAGAUCCUAGUCACUGUUACACAUGUAGAGUAGCAGCUUACUCCAAGAAUUCAUUGACUAUUUGCUGAGUAACCUGCUACCCAAUAAGAAUAAAUAUCUAGAUCGAAUAACAUGAAUAAGGGGAGCAGAAUCUGCCUCUUGGAUGUUACAACAGUGAGGCCCCAGUCUUGCAUUUUACAACAUGUGGACAAACUGAUGAGCCCACAUGGAACCCCACUGAAGAAAAACAAUUAGUUCACAAACUGUUACAAGUUGCAGGACAGGGACCUUAGUUCUUAAAACAAGAGAGAGCCAUAUUCUCCCCUAUUCUAUUUUAAUUCCCAUGAUGUCACAUAUUAAAGAUGUUCAGUAAAGUAUAUGAUGAUGUCACAACUCAGAAGACAUAAAAAUAUUGCAGGGAACCUCUCAAGUGGCCCCUGCAGUUCCAAUUAUAAAAUUCACCUUGCUUUGUAUUUAAUUUGAAGAGUUCAGUACAGAUCUAAUUAAAUGUUAAUACAUCAUUAAAAUGAUUUGUAAUAAGUAUAUUCAAACCAGGGUGAGUAUGAUAUGCUCUUUAUGAAGCCCAGACCUAGCUGGGAUCCUUCAGGUUGAAAACUCAUUCUUCAUAACAAACAGCAUUCUGGUAAUAUUAAUGACAUACACAAAUGUGAUCAAAAUAUUUGAUCUUGGAAACAAUUUUAACAUUUGUGGGAACUAGAUAUUUGGGCAUUUUUUUCUGGUUGACAUUAUUCUAUGAGGGAAUAUUCCUUUAAAAGGCUUUGACUUUUUUUUUUUAGCAGAAAAAAAAAAUAGCCUUUCUACAGAAUUAAUGAAGCUGGCUUUUUAGCCUAGGGUAAAAAGCUAGCUAAUGAAGUCAUUCAUCGUGACAGCCCAUGGUCUGAAUUAUAUGAAUUAUUGCUUAUUAAUGGGAUUAAUUGUUUCUCAUGCUAUAAUACAAAAUGUAUGCACAUCUCCAAAAUAUCUAGGUUUAUAAUCUGAAACAGAAAAGGGGGGGAAGGAGUGUAUUAGUUAUAUGAACCACUUCCAUUUCUGAAUUUAUGUGUGUCAUGUAGGUAAACUUUAUCAAGAAAAUACAUAAAGUAAAGUGAGGCGUGUAAAAAUGAAGAUAAAG